CCUACGGGAGGCAGCAGUGAGGAAUAUUGGUCAAUGGACGAGAGUCUGAACCAGCCAAGUAGCGUGAAGGAUGACUGCCCUAUGGGUUGUAAACUUCUUUUAUAUGGGAAUAAAAUGUUCCACGUGUGGGAUUUUGUAUGUACCAUAUGAAUAAGGAUCGGCUAACUCCGUGCCAGCAGCCGCGGUAAUACGGAGGAUCCGAGCGUUAUCCGGAUUUAUUGGGUUUAAAGGGAGCGUAGGUGGAUUGUUAAGUCAGUUGUGAAAGUUUGCGGCUCAACAGUAAAAUUGCAGUUGAAACUGGCAGUCUUGAGUACAGUAGAGGUGGGCGGAAUUCGUGGUGUAGCGGUGAAAUGCUUAGAUAUCACGAAGAACUCCGAUUGCGAAGGCAGUUCACUGGACUGCAACUGACACUGAGGCUCGAAAGUGUGGGUAUCAAACAGGAUUAGAUACCCGUGUAGUC
rnacentral:rRNA from 1 species